CCCGCCCAGAACCCCACCUAAGACCCCGUGGGGCUUUGGGCGACACCCAAGUACAACAGUAACAAUGUGCGAUGGAGUCGGCUGUGGAGACGGCAAAGGCUGUUGGCUCUGACAUCAGGGGAACCCCCACCCCCAUGGUAGGAGGUGAGCAAGGAGCAGCUACCGAGAGCAGCAAAGCCAAAUGCUCUCAACCUGUGUGUGAAGAGGCGAGACCGGCAAGGGGAGAACUGGGAACAGCCUGCCCUCGUGACUUUCCUGAGGGAAACUUCUGGGCAAAGAGCUAUGGGACAGUCACUGCGAAAGCUGAAGAAGCUACUCAGAGAUGGCAGAAGCCAGAUCACAGGCCCUUCCUGCAGUCGCGGGCUCCCCAGGCGAGGAGAGGCUUAUUACAGGGGCUGGACUGUAUGCGGCUGACUCUGAAAAGGGAUUGGCCGUCAUCUUUUGCAGCUGUAGGGCAUGCUGUCUUACGAUUGGCUGGAAACAUUGUUCCGCCGCCUUCUCUGUGCCCUGUGACACCACUUAUCGGUCUGGCCAUCAGCAGACUCUCAAGCCUCAGAUGGCGUUUUAGGCACAGCAGGAGCUGA
rnacentral:lncRNA from 1 species